CGAUCGCAGACUCUGCUUCAAUAAAACGCGCGGUCUGUAUAGUAAGCGGCGCUCCUCGUCCUGUUCCCUGGAGCGGCUGCCCACGCCUUGCAGGGAGGCCCCUCUGGCGAAGGAGCGUCUUUGCUGUGGGUGUCAGUCCCGCCAGUGCGGGCAGCUAUCUUCUGCCGCUGCCGGAAGCGGUGGGCUGCGGACACCCGCGUCCCGCUACAGUCCCGGCACCUCCUGCAAGAGACUCGCAGCGAGCUGUCCCGUGAGAAACCGGCGCUUCCAGCUGAGCAUAAGCAUGUUCUACCAGGCAAUUUAAGAGAGGAGGACACGUUUUCAAAGUUUUUUAGUUUUUGAAAUGAGUACCUUCAUUUUAAUCUGCCUUGUUACACCGAGGCAGCUUUGAGAGACGUCAAAGUGCACCAAGCCUCAGCACACCGAAGUGAAUCCUCAAAAGCACCAUGGGAAACAUUGUAAGAGAAGCAUCUAAAAGCAUUACUAAUCGAAGGCAGGUGCUGGUUUUCAAAUAUCUA
rnacentral:lncRNA from 1 species